CGGGCAGUAGCGCAGGUUGGUAGCGCGCCUCGUUCGGGACGAGGAGGUCGUGGGUUCAAAUCCCGCCUGCCCGACCA
rnacentral:tRNA from 1 species